rnacentral:lncRNA from 1 species
UUUGUAUUAUAUUUUAUUAUACAUGACAAUAUUUCUCUGUAAAUUAUCAUUUUUUUUUAUAAAUACGUAAAUUAUCGGAAAGUGCGAAGCACGGGUUUAAUACUAGUUCAUUUAAUACCUUGGAAUUCCGAAAAGCGGGCGGCUAUGGGCGGCAGCGGACUAAUUACAACGCCAUUGCAGAGAAAUCCCUUUGAAGUCCCGUGCCAGAGCAGCGAAGUCCCGCGCCAGAGAAGUCUCGUGCCAGCGAAAUCCCGUGCCAGAGUAGUCUCGUGCCAUAGCAGCGAAAUCCCGUGCCAGAGCAGCGGAGUCCCGUGCCAGAGCAGCGAAGUCCCUUGCCAGUGCAGCGAAGUCCGAUGACAGUGCAGCGUAAUCCCGUUCCAGAGCAGCGAAGUCCCGAUGCCAGAGCAGCGGAGUCCCGUGCCAGAGCAGCGAGGUCCCGUGCCAGUGCAGCGAAGUUCCGUGCUCCAAAGCUGAUACUCCAGAGUUAACACUCCUGAGCUGAGUUUCCAGAGUCUUUAUGUGUGCUGAAAACUCCAGAGCUGUAUAGUUAUCGCUCCAAGAGUCAUCACUCCAGAGCUAUCAUUCCAGAGCUGAAGAUUCAGAGAUGAGCCCCAGAGCAGAAGUUCCGGAGCGGAAUUGUACUUCCUGACCUAUAGCUCCAGAGCUGUAGUGCCAGAGUCGAUGCUCCCAACAGCUGUUGUUCCAGAGCGGUGGUUCUAGCGCUCAAGCUAUUAAGCUGAUACUCCAGAGCUU